UGCCGAGGUCCUCUGUUGCUCUGUGAGGUUGACGGCUGAAUUCUGAAUGUUAACACUGUCCGAAGCUUGACCUCUGCAUGAACUGGCGCUGGUUGCCAUUGGCAACCUUUACCUUCAAUUCAUGUGACUGGAGCGUCAUCGUAACAGUGGAUGAUGCUGACCU